GAUGAACGCUGGCUACAGGCUUAACACAUGCAAGUCGAGGGGAAACGACGGGGAAGCUUGCUUCCCCGGGCGUCGACCGGCGCACGGGUGAGUAACGCGUAUCCAACCUGCCUCUGACUGAGGGAUAACCCGUCGAAAGUCGGCCUAAUACCUCAUGGCAUCGUCUGCGGGCAUCCAACGACGAUUAAAGAUUUCAUCGGUCAGGGAUGGGGAUGCGUCUGAUUAGCUUGUUGGCGGGGUAACGGCCCACCAAGGCUACGAUCAGUAGGGGUUCUGAGAGGAAGGUCCCACACAUUGGAACUGAGACACGGUCCAAACUCCUACGGGAGGCAGCAGUGAGGAAUAUUGGUCAAUGGGCGGGAGCCUGAACCAGCCAAGUAGCGUGCAGGAUGACGGCCCUAUGGGUUGUAAACUGCUUUUAUGCGGGGAUAAAGUGAGGGACGUGUCCUUCAUUGCAGGUACCGCAUGAAUAAGGACCGGCUAAUUCCGUG
rnacentral:rRNA from 1 species